rnacentral:rRNA from 1 species
CCCACGGGGGGCAGCAGUGGGGAAUAUUGGACAAUGGGCGAAAGCCUGAUCCAGCCAUGCCGCGUGUGUGAAGAAGGCCUUCGGGUUGUAAAGCACUUUCAGUGGGGAAGAAAGCCUUGGGGCUAAUACCCUCGAGGAAGGACAUCACCCACAGAAGAAGCACCGGCUAACUCCGUGCCAGCAGCCGCGGUAAUACGGAGGGUGCGAGCGUUAAUCGGAAUUACUGGGCGUAAAGCGCGCGUAGGCGGUCUGAUAAGCCGGUUGUGAAAGCCCCGGGCUCAACCUGGGAACGGCAUCCGGAACUGUCAGGCUAGAGUGCAGGAGAGGAAGGUAGAAUUCCCGGUGUAGCGGUGAAAUGCGUAGAGAUCGGGAGGAAUACCAGUGGCGAAGGCGGCCUUCUGGACUGACACUGACGCUGAGGUGCGAAAGCGUGGGUAGCAAACAGGAUUAGAUACCCCAGUAGUC